rnacentral:rRNA from 1 species
GACGAACGCUGGCGGCGUGCUUAACACAUGCAAGUCGAACGGAAAGGCCCUGCUUUUGUGGGGUGCUCGAGUGGCGAACGGGUGAGUAACACGUGAGUAACCUGCCCUUGACUUUGGGAUAACUUCAGGAAACUGGGGCUAAUACCGGAUAGGAGCUCCUGCUGCAUGGUGGGGGUUGGAAAGUUUCGGCGGUUGGGGAUGGACUCGCGGCUUAUCAGCUUGUUGGUGGGGUAGUGGCUUACCAAGGCUUUGACGGGUAGCCGGCCUGAGAGGGUGACCGGCCACAUUGGGACUGAGAUACGGCCCAGACUCCUACGGGAGGCAGCAGUGGGGAAUAUUGCACAAUGGGCGGAAGCCUGAUGCAGCAACGCCGCGUGCGGGAUGACGGCCUUCGGGUUGUAAACCGCGUUCGCCUGUGACGAAGCGUGAGUGACGGUAAUGGGUAAAGAAGCACCGGCUAACUACGUGC